GCUCGUAGUUGGANUUCGGGUGGGUCUUUGCGGUCCGCCUCUGGUGAGUACUGCUAAGGCCCAUCUUUCUGUCGGGGACGGGCUCCUGGGCUUCACUGUCUGGGACUCGGAGUCGACGUUGUGACUUUGAGUAAAUUAGAGUGUUCAAAGCAAGCCUACGCUCUGAAUACAUUAGCAUGGAAUCACAUGAUAGGACUCUGGCCUAUCUUGUUGGUCUGUAGGACUGGAGUAAUGAUUAAGAGGGACAGUCGGGGGCAUUCGUAUUNNNUGUCAGAGA
rnacentral:rRNA from 1 species